CCCGCCCUAUUUCAAAACAUCCUUCAGUGGGCAUCUCUGACCUCGGCUUGAACUCCUUCAGGGCCGGCUGGAUCACUCCUGCCACCGCCGAGGGGAAGGAGGCAAAAUGAAUUUGCCAGCCUUGAAUUCAUUCUCAAGGCUUCGCUAGUCUGGCCGCCCGCGCGCGAACUCGGCUUGGAUUCCUGAGGGCCCAGAGGACUGCAGCUCAGGAACCAUCAGCGGGGAAGAAAGCCAUUGCUUAGGCCUAGGCCUGGGGAGUGGGGAGCCAGGAGGUCCAGGAAGCCAGGAGGAAGGCAGUGGACGGCCUUCUCUGUCUCCACAAUUCACCCCUUCACUCCCCAAAAGGGAGCCCGAGGACUAAAAGGGCAGGAGGAGUGUACACUGUUGAGUGCUUCCUGUUUGCCAGAUAUUUCUCAUCCCGUCCUCUCCACAAGCCAGAAAGUGUAAUUCCCCACCAAGGACAAAGGCUCAGAGAGGAGUGCUGCCUUAGUUCCCAUCAUGGAUCUCUGCCUCAUGGUUCCAGACCCAGCUCAGCCACCACCCCCUUGUUCUCCUGGGAGGCCUGAAAGAGUCAACUGCUUCAGGAAUUGGGACACCUUUGCUCCCAGUCCACCGCUGCCUGCCCGACUCGCUGUGUGUGUCUUGAGCACAUCGCAGACUUUCUCUGUGCUCCUAUUUCCCCAUCUGUCAAAUAGAGUAUGGGACAUGGGAUAUCCAGUGGUACUUCUGCCUCUGACUAAGCUACAGGGCACUUUUGGGUUUGGCAGGGGUGGGGGGGUGCUGCUUUGGGAAGCACCCUCAGAGGGUCUCCUUUGGCUGCAUAGGGAAAGGAAAACAUGUAUUCAGAGGGGACCAUCUAGGGCUGUGAGUAGGUAAGGACCUUAACACCUUGCUUCACAAGGUAUGCUCAUCCUCUGAGCCUUGCAAUGAAUGGCCUUCUCCCAGGGAUGAAACUGAGCCCCGAAAGGAGGGGAUGGCUUCCCCAUGGCCACAGAGCUGGGAAGUGUCAGAGCUGGAACAAGAACCAGGUGUCCUGACCCAGAGCCAUCUGGGAGCUAGGAGGUCCAGGCCGGCUAGGGGGUCUGGAACAAGCAACCCGAGGGGGAUCAAGCCUCCUCUCUCUAUCCUGACAGCUCCUCCACCCUGAGAGAAGAGUCCCUCCUCUCUGGCACUGUUGGGGGCAGGAGGAAGAUCUCAGAGCCUCGACAUCUCCCCUCCUCACGGGGACAGCAGUCUGCCAGCCUCAAGGCUCAUACCCCCCUUGCCCUGACCUGUGCGUGUAGCCACGCUGGGUGGCUUCUGGAAUUACCAGCCUUAUGUACAUACUCUUACCUCAUCAUGCUCUUCCUGCCUCCUGGGACAUACCCCUGCCAGCCUUCAAGGCCACACGUAGGGCCACGUGCUCAGAGACCUGCCCUGAUUGAUAACUCUAACCUGGUCUCAGCCCCACGUGGUGCCGCCCUUGCCUCCAGCAUGGUCAUUACCAUCGUAACAAUUACCUAUUAAGCUCUUACUGUGUGCCAGCCACGGAGGAUCUCAUGCACGCAAACUCCUUUCAUCUUCACAGGAGCUGAUUUUUUUUUUUUAUUCGUGGUAGUAACUUUUGCAUUUUUACAGAUGAGGAAACCGAGGCACAGGGGGUUUCAUCGGCCCAGCGUGACACCUCACUAGGCAGGGCAAUUAUUUUGACGUGCACUGGUCCCCUCCUCCCUCCCCUACACACACAGUGCCUGGCUGAGACUGCAGGCCUGAGGAUGGCCCACUGCUCUAUCCCGUCACCCAGCAUGGUGCCUGCGUGACUGACAGGCGGUCAAGUGCAGUGGGAGGUGCACGGGGCAUGCAGGGAUGAGCCGGACCCAGCCCCCCAGGAGCACCUAUGACUAUCAGAAAGAACUGCCCCCAUCAAAUACCCCUCUAAAAGUGUGGGGGAUGGAGGAGAGUUGGCAGGGAGUGGGGACUGGGAAGGCAGGCUCUGCGGGGGAAACAGACCAGACUUGGGCCUGGACCUGCCCAAGUCACGCAGCAAGUGUGAGGCAGCAGCGGGGUGGGACCCUGGCUUCCCAGUGUGAUGUGCCUCCU